UACGGAGGAUGCAAGCGUUAUCCGGAAUGAUUGGGCGUAAAGCGUCCGCAGGUGGCUGUGUAAGUCUGCUGUCAAAGAGCAAAGCUCAACUUUGUAAAGGCAGUGGAAACUACACGGCUAGAGUGCGUUCGGGGCAGAGGGAAUUCCUGGUGUAGCGGUGAAAUGCGUAGAGAUCGUAAGGAAGACCAGUGGCGAAGGCGGGUCUCUGGACAGUUCCUGACACUGAGGCACGAAGGCCAGGGGAGCAAACGGG
rnacentral:rRNA from 1 species